AAGGGGGGGGGUAUAGUGAGGGUGGAAAGGUAGGAUAAUGAUUAGUGUUUUAAAAGAGGGGUGGAAUGAAAGGUUUGAGGAAGUAUUGAGUGUGUGAUGUUAUUUGAAAUUAAAAGUUAAGUUUUUAGUGAAAAGGGUUAAAUUUUAUUGGUAGAGGAGAAGAGGGUAUAGAGGUUUAUAUUAUUUAUUUUGAUUAUUUAUAUAUAAUUUUUAAUUAAAAUAUAUAUUAUUUUGUUGGGGUGAGAAGAAAAUAAAAUUAAGUUUUUUAUUUAUUUAAGAUUAAUAUAUGAUUAUUUGAUGGAUUAUUAUUGAUUAUUAGAUUAAGUUAGGUUAGGGAGAGGGUAAA
rnacentral:rRNA from 1 species